CUAUAAAUACCUCAUCUUCGCCGCCUUGCAAAUCAAUCCUUCAUAUCUCUACCGAUCUCUCUGUUCUUUCUUCGAUUUCUGUUUUCAUUUUCUUUUUUCAAUUUCUUUCUUCGAUCUUCGUUGGAAUCUUCUCAAAGCAUCGACUAUGACUCUCGCUGCUUGUUUAUCAAUGGCAUCGGGAGUACGAAAAGAUGCAAAAUCGAUUUCAAAUCGGUACUACAUGGACCGGCAUUGCCGACCUAUCUACGGGUUCUGCCAUUUCUCGUUUGUUCCACAUAUCUCUUACUUCUCUAACCCUAACUGAAUGGAUUGAUUUACAAAUCCGGUACUGAUUUCUUGUUUCUGACUCUUUUAAGUGUUGUUUUAUGAAAUUGAUCUGCUCGAUGAUGAUUGUUUUUUGCUUUAACCACACCGAAGCGAACUGUGGCUGUGUCUUGAUCCUCAUUCAUUUAAACUUUUGAGUAGAUUUCAUUCUUGUUAUUGGUUUUCGCCUGACGACUCUUCCUCCUAUGAUUAGAGGAAUUUGUUUCAAUUUCCUCUUCUUUUAGGGGGAGGAUGAAGGGAAUUUCAAUCGCUUGAAGUGAUUUCUUUCUGGGCCUAAACGUUUUAGGAUCCGCCAGCUUCGAGUUUUCGCAUGUGGAAAACUUUGGCCUUUUUCUGAGAGCAAUUGUUCGUCAUUAAAAGCGAUUGUCAGUCUGUUAUUGAUCUUUUUUUUUUUUUGCCGAUGAAUUGAACUGAUGCUUUUGCUUUUGGGAAUCGAUCAUCCAAAUUGCUUUGUAUUUUUCAUGAAAUUUUCAUUUUUUUCUCUCGAUCAAGAAUUUUUUGUCUGGUAAACUGCCUGCAAAACACAAUGUAUUUAUCUUUCGAAAGUGACUUUUGUUACCCAUACAUUUGAAAGUGUUUAAUCGAUCGGAUCUUAAGGAAUUUAAUUGGGACUAAUUUUCAAAUAGUUAAAAUUACUUAGUUAUUUUCAAAAUAUUCAAGAUCAUUUUUAAUAUUCGAAACCAAUUUUGAUUAAAAGUGUAAAAUCAAACUUUCCAUUAACAUCUGGUUUUUUCAGAACUUUCUAUAUUCUAAUUUUGAUUGGAAUUUGAAUCAAAUUGAUUUUACGAGAAUAAGAUAUAACAUAGCAUUUUAUUCAUUUUAUCUAUUUUUUUCUAGUACGAUGUUAAGUAGUUUUGAAUUAGUUUAGGUUUGCCUUUUUGAACUUUUGGUUUUUUGAUUUCUUUUUUCUGUUUUGGUUGGUUGAUUUGGGUGUGUUUGGAAUGUAUUUUAAAGUGUUUAAUUCAAAAAAUAAACCAUUUUAGAAAAAAAAUUGUAGUGUUUGUUAAUAACUCAAUAUAGUGGUUUUUGAAGAGUAUUUUAAAUAAUUUUGGUCAAAAAUGUUCAAAUCAAAAUGAGUUUUUUUUUUUGAAAAAAAAUAUAUUUUUUCUUGUACAAAUAUCCAAAUGUGUUCUUUAUUUAAUUCACCCAACUCACAAAAGACGAUAAAAUAUUAUAUGAUUUAAAAAAUAAGUUGGUUUAAAAAAUAAGUAUUUUAAAUCAUUUUGAUUAAAAAUGUUUAAAAAAACUUAGUUCUGAAAAAAAUAUUUUUUAAGUCAAGGAAGAAAGAAGGGGUGAGUAUUGAAAGUCUAGGUAAGGGCAUGGUAUUCAUCCUGACUUCUUGGAACAAUGGACUUUCCCAUAGAAAUACAAAAUAAAGCCUGAUAUUGUGAUCGAUGGGCAAGGUAGCAGGUAAACAAGACCUUGCUAAUUCCUAAGCCAAGAAAGAAAAUAAUGCAAGAACUUCAGAUCUAUUAGUCUAAAACCAUCAUUAAGAAGCUCUUGUCAAUGUUAGUAAAGGAUGAAAGUUCCAAAACUUCAUACAGCAAGGUUAAGCAAAAUCUUAACAAUUACCAUCUUUGCAAUUGGAGAGAAGGUUUCAAUAUAGUCGACUCUCUUGUUGAGUGUACUCUUUUACUACCAAUUGGGCCUUAUAAUGUUCUAAAUUGCCAUUGCCAUCAGCCUUUUGUUUGAUCGUGUACACUCCCUUGCAUCCUAUGGAGUGAAGAUCAUAAGGCAACAAAACAAUAGACCAAAUAUGAUUAUCCUCCAUAGCUUAAAGAUAGAUUUGAGGUUCUUGCGUUGCGGAAACAUUGAGCACAAAAGUCAAGAAUUUAUCAUAGGACAAAUAUUUUUGGAGAGAACUUUGUGGUUGAAGAGUAUUGACUGUUGUUGGAGCAACCCACAGUGGUAAUCUUGUACGUAGGAAGACUUGUUGGAUGGCCUAGAUCUUCGAAUCACAUGGAUAAUGUCAACAAGAGAUUGAUCAGGAGCACUAUAGCACCACUGGGAACUGAGUUAUGAACAACAGUAGGCUGUGUAACAAUAUCAAGGGUUAUAUUAGGUUGUUCAACAAUAGCACCUUGUUUAAUAAUACCAGGCUGUUGGACAAUA